rnacentral:rRNA from 1 species
UGCCAGCAGCCGCGGUAAUACGAGGGGUGCAAACGUUGUUCGGAAUCACUGGGCGUAAAGCGUACGUAGACGGCUUGUUAAGCUCGUUGUUAAAUCUCCCGGCCCAACCGGGAACAUGCGAUGGGAACUGGCAGGCUAGAGGGCGAAAGAGAGAAGUGGAAUUUCCGGAGUAGCGGUAAAAUGCGUAGAUCUCGGAAGGAACACCGAUGGCGAAGGCAACUUCUUGGUUCGCAUCUGACGUUGAGGUACGAAAGCGUGGGGAGCAAACAGGAUUAGAUA